rnacentral:rRNA from 1 species
GAAGGCAUUUGCCAACAACGUUUUCAUUAAUCAAGAACGAAAGUUAGGGGAUCGAAGAUGAUCAGAUACCGUCGUAGUCUUAACCAUAAACUAUGCCGACUAGGGAUCGGGUGUUGUCCUUUUUUUGGCGCACUCGGCACCUUACGAGAAAUCAAAGUUUUUGGGUUCUGGGGGGAGUAUGGUCGCAAGGCUGAAACUUAAAGGAAUUGACGGAAGGGCACCACCAGGAGUGGAGCCUGCGGCUUAAUUUGACUCAACACGGGGAAACUCACCAGGUCCAGACACAAUAAGGAUUGACAGAUUGAGAGCUCUUUCUUGAUUUUGUGGGUGGUGGUGCAUGGCCGUUCUUAGUUGGUGGAGUGAUUUGUCUGCUUAAUUGCGAUAACGAACGAGACCUUAACCUACUAAAUAGUUCUGCUAGCAUUUGCUGGUACGAUACUUCUUAGAGGGACUACCGAUUUCAAGUCGGUGGAAGUUUGAGGCAAUAACAGGUCUGUGAUGCCCUUAGACGUUCUGGGCCGCACGCGCGCUACACUGACGGAGCCAGCGAGUAUUAACCUUGGCCGAGAGGUCCGGGAAAUCUUGUGAAACUCCGUCGUGCUGGGGAUAGAGCAUUGUAAUUAUUGCUCUUCAACGAGGAAUUCCUAG